AGGCACGGCUCAUGCAUGCAGCUGCCCGCAGGGUCGUUACAGGACGGCUCAUCUUCCCGAGGCCCCUUCAGGAUGCCUCCCUUCCUGCUUCGGCGCGGAGACCGAGUAGUUUUUUUUUUUUUUUUCCAUACUGCAGUUCGGUCUGCUGGUGGAUCAUGUUGGCUCUCAAUUCCAAGGGCACUCAGUACCUGACCACUUUUCCCCCCAUCUGCCCCUGCCCGGGAGCAAGCCACCAGGUCCCUCCUGGAGAGCUCUUGGCACCUCCAGCAGUCUCCUGGCCUGCAGCGAUGCCCUGGGUGGGCAGUCGUCCAGCCAUGCUCUUCCUCAGCACAAGCAGAGCCCUCCAGGGGCCUCCAUCUCGCACAGGUCACUCCUCACCUCCUUCGAGUCUCUUGUCUGGUGCCACUUUCUCAUAAAGCCUUCCUCGACUGGCUUCUCAAAAUGUGCAGCCUGUGUCCCCCGCCCCCUUGUUUUCUUGCACCUCCUGGCCUCAUCUGACACGUGUGCAUUCAUUUGGUGGUUGUCUGUCUCCCACAUUCCCUGUAAACUGCCUGAAAUCAGCAUUUUGCCUGUCCUGCUCACAGCUGUAUCCCCAAUAUGCGCCAGUGUGUCGUAGAUGCUCAAAAAGUAUUUGAAUGCUAGGUAUGUUUAUCCCUGUUUUGCAGAUUGAGUAAUCGAAGGUCUGAGGGGUUAAGCUGCUUGCCACAGACCCCGAAGUGCGAGGAUAUGGAUUAAAAUUCAGACACGAGCUUAAUUGCUCUGUAUGCUCCUCUUUCUUUCUAUCUCUCUCCUUCCUUCCUUCUGUCUUUUUGGAGGCACUCGCAGCAUGUGGAAGUUCCCAGGCCGGGGAUCGCACCCGUGCCGCAGCAGUGACCCAGGCCCCUGCAGUGACAACACUGGAUUCUUACGCUGCUGCACCACAAGAGAACUCCUUUAUGCUCCCUUUUCUUGUUAAAAAGGACAGUAAUAGGUAAGACGCAGAUUUGCCAUGAGGAGGACGUGAAUACUGCACAGGAAAACACUUUGCGGGAAUGUUACUUAUUCAAUUUAUUGAGAACCUUAGCUUUUUGUGUCUGUUUUAUUCCACAACCCGCCUGAAAGUUCUUUUGUGUUCUCGGGUUUUUAUUUAGGAGUAGCUGACACUGUCCCACCAAACUGCAGGAGAAGCCUGCGUGUGUGUUUGUGUCUCUCUGUGGCUCUGAUCUUCCCCACAGGCCGUCCGGUCCAGAGCCCCCCUGAUGUCAGCCGCAGGGCGCAGGAGCCAGGAGCCGAGGAGUUCCUGCGCCUUGACCACACGAGCGUGGCCCUUCCUCCAGACCCCCGCUCCGGACGCGCCCACCUAGCGUCUCCCAGGAACCAUGCGGCAGCUCAAGGGGAAGCCCAAGAAGGAGACGUCCAAGGACAAGAAGGAGCGGAAGCAGGCCAUGCAGGAGGCCCGGCAGCAGAUCACCACCGUGGUGCUGCCCACGCUGGCCGUGGUCGUGGUCCUGAUCGUGGUGUUUGUGUACGUGGCCACGCGCCCCACCAUCACCGAGUGAGGGCCCGCCCCGAGGGAGGAGGCUCGGGAGGGGAGAGCAGAAGAAGGGCCUUCAUCCGCUGCGAUUUUCCUGAUGCCGAGCUCUGAGCAGGAGCCCCCGUCUCCUCUGGUCUGUGACUUGAUUAAAGGUUCUCCACUUUUCUCGGGAGGGAAUAGGAAACGUUUUAUCAGUGAACGUGCCAUACACCUUAUGGUCCACUUCAUGUGCCUUUCAGACUUCAAAGCCGUGUGUGUGUGUGUGUGUUUCUCGCCUGCAAUCGAUGUGUAGCCCCACCUGGUGAGAGGAGGCGUCUCUGGGUCACGGAUCAGUUGGAAUCAGUGCUCACCCCAUCCCCGUUGUUUUGAACAUGACUUUCCUACACGUGUUCACAAUUUCCAAAGGGACUGUGUUUCUUCUCUGUGCUUCAUGUGAUUUGAAAUAUGUCGACUCAAAAGUGAAAUAUUUAUUUUUUGAAUAAAGGAGAUGAUAGCCUUAAA
rnacentral:lncRNA from 1 species